rnacentral:rRNA from 1 species
UGAAUACGAGAUGCUACGGCGUCGAAGCAGUCUAUGUCAUACUUCCAAGAAAAGCUUGCACUGUCAUAAACAAAUAAUGCCUGUACCAUAACCGACACAGGUGGGUAGGUAGAGUAUACUAAGGGGCGCGAGAUAACUCUCUCUAAGGAACUCGGCAAAAUGACUCCGUAACUUCGGGAGAAGGAGUGCCUUAUUUAUAAGGUUGCAAUAACAAGAUCCAAGCAACUGUUUACCAAAAGCACAGGUCUCCGCUAAGUCGUAAGACGAUGUAUGGGGGCUGACGCCUGCCCAGUGCCAGAAGGUUAAAGAAGUUGGUUAGCAUCCGCGAAGCUGAUAACUGAAGCCCUGGUGAACGGCGGCCGUAACAAUAACGGUCCUAAGGUAGCGAAAUUCCUUGUCGGGUAAGCUCCGACCCGCACGAAAGGCGUAAUGAUUUGGAUACUGUCUCGGAGAGGGGCUCGGUGAAAUAGACUUGUCUGUGAAGAUGCGGACUACCUGCACCAGGACAGAAAGACCCUAUGAAGCUUUACUGUACCUGAAAUUGAAAUUGGACUUUACUUGCGCAGUAUAGGUGGGAGGCGUUGAGAAUAUUCUUGCGGGAUUAUUGGAGCCAUCAGUGAGAUACCACUCUUGUAAUGUUAGAUUUCUAACUUUGUAUCAUUAUCUGGUCAAAGAACAGUUUCAGGCGGGCAGUUUGACUGGGGCGGUCGCCUCCUAAACGGUAACGGAGGCGCACAAAGGUUUCCUCUGAACGGGUAGAAAUCGUAUCUAGAGUGUAAAGGCAUAAGGAAGCUUGACUGUGAGACCUACAAGUCGAGCAGGGACGAAAGUCGGUCUUAGUGAUCUGACGGUGCUGAGUGGAAAGGCCGUCACUCAACGGAUAAAAGUUACUCUAAGGAUAACAGGCUGAUCUCCCCCAAGAGUUCACAUCGACGGGGAGGUUUGGCACCUCGAUGUCGGCUCAUCGCAUCCUGGGGCGGUAGUACGUCCCAAGGGUUGGGCUGUUCGCCCAUGAAAGCGGUACGCGAGCUGGGUUCAGAACGUCGUGAGACAGUUCGGUCCAUAUCCGGUGUAGGCGUUAGAAUAUUGAGAGGAGCCUUCUUUAGUACGAGAGGACCGAGAAGGACAUACCUCUGGUGUACCAGUUAUCGUGCCAACGGUAAACGCUGGGUAGCUAUGUGUGGAGUGGAUAACCGCUGAAAGCAUCUAAGUGGGAAGCCCACCUCAAGAUAAG